CCUACGGGAGGCAGCAGUGGGGAAUAUUGGACAAUGGGCGAAAGCCUGAUCCAGCCAUGCCGCGUGUGUGAAGAAGGUCUUCGGAUUGUAAAGCACUUUAAGUUGGGAGGAAGGGCAGUUACCUAAUACGUAAUUGUUUUGACGUUACCGACAGAAUAAGCACCGGCUAACUCUGUGCCAGCAGCCGCGGUAAUACAGAGGGUGCAAGCGUUAAUCGGAAUUACUGGGCGUAAAGCGCGCGUAGGUGGUUUGUUAAGUUGGAUGUGAAAUCCCCGGGCUCAACCUGGGAACUGCAUUCAAAACUGACUGACUAGAGUAUGGUAGAGGGUGGUGGAAUUUCCUGUGUAGCGGUGAAAUGCGUAGAUAUAGGAAGGAACACCAGUGGCGAAAGCGACCACCUGGACUAAUACUGACACUGAGGUGCGA
rnacentral:rRNA from 1 species